rnacentral:rRNA from 1 species
GACGAACGCUGGCGGCGUGCUUAACACAUGCAAGUCGAACGGAAAGGCCCUGCUUUUGUGGGGUGCUCGAGUGGCGAACGGGUGAGUAACACGUGAGUAACCUGCCCUUGACUUUGGGAUAACUUCAGGAAACUGGGGCUAAUACCGGAUAGGAUCUCCUGCUGCAUUGUGGGGGUUGGAACGUUUCGGCGGUUGGGGAUGGACUCGCGGCUUAUCAGCUUGUUGGUGGGGUAGUGGCUUACCAAGGCUUUGACGGGUAGCCGGCCUGAGAGGGUGACCGGCCACAUUGGGACUGAGAUACGGCCCAGACUCCUACGGGAGGCAGCAGUGGGGAAUAUUGCACAAUGGGCGGAAGCCUGAUGCAGCAACGCCGCGUGCGGGAUGACGGCCUGCUGGUUGUAAACCGCUUUCGCCUGUGACGAAGCGUGAGUGACGGUAAUGGGUAAAGAAGCACCGGCUAACUACGUG